rnacentral:rRNA from 1 species
GACGAACCGUGCGAACGUUGUUCGGAAUCACUGGGCUUAAAGGGUGCGUAGGCGGCGCGGUAAGUCGGGUGUGAAAUCUUGGAGCUUAACUCCGAAACUGCAUUCGAUACUGCCGUGCUUGAGGACUGGAGAGGAGACUGGAAUUUACGGUGUAGCGGUGAAAUGCGUAGAUAUCGUAAGGAAGACCAGUGGCGAAGGCGGGUCUCUAGACAGUUCCUGACGCUGAGGCACGAAGGCCAGGGGAGCAAACGGG